rnacentral:lncRNA from 1 species
CGGGGCUUCUUGUCUUGUGCCAAUAAAAUUUAGGACAUGGAAACAUACAAGGAGUUUAGGAGUGGAGGUUUAAUAGGCAGAAGAAAGAGAAAGAACAGCUGAGAGGGGCUUCCUAAAGGAAAAGACCAGCCAGCAGCGGAUGCGCCGGAUUUUACAGGCAGGCUUGAGGAGGCAGUGUCUGAUUUACCUAUAGCCCACAGACUGCAGGUGUGAUGUUUACAUAGCAUGCGGGGAAGGAUGGCCAUCCAAUCCUAAUCUUAUUAUGCAAAUGAGCUUUCCACUCGACUAGCGCCAUCUUGUCUGCUUCUUACUAUACACGUGGCUGACAAACAGAAGGGAAGAUGGAACCGCCAUUUUGGACAUGAUUGGCACAAGUACUGGCAUCCAUGUCUGCAGCUCGAUUUUACAGACUGCUCUUUAUUAGAAAGGAAAGUUAUUUGGGGCUGCUUUUCAUUAAAAGGAAAACCUUGCCAAGGACUUCUGUACCCUCAAUAUCUGCCUCACUGAUUCCACAGGGAGAAGAUUUCUACUCCCAGCACAUCUUGUCUUCUGGCUUCGUUGCACCAAGGAAGGCUGCGUGCCUUAACCAUCAUCAGAGCAAAAUAGCCAUGUCUGUGUUCUGGCAGUGAUAGAGCGACAGCCAAGUGUCCAUAGGGCAAGCGGCAACUUUUCUACCUGACAAGCCAGUAGAGUAAUCUGGAGUGUUGUUCUUGGCUAAGUGGCUUCCAAACUAUUUUCUCGCCCUCCCAGACAAUCUAUAAGCUCUUGAUAGUUUUUAGAAAAUUCACUUUCAGCCUGUGAUGGUUGAGUGUCAACUUGAUUGGACUGAAGGAUGCAAAGUAUUGUUCCUGGGUGUGUUUGUGAGGGUGUUGCCAAGGGAGAUUAACAUUUGAGUCAGUGGACUCGGAGAGGCAGACCCACAGUCAAUCUAGGUGAGCACCAUCUAAUCAGCUAUCAGUGCAGCUAGGAUAAAAGCAGGCAGAAGAACGUGGGAGGACUAGACUGGCUGAGUCUUCUGGCUUCCAUCUUUCUCCCAUGAUGGAUGCUUCCUGCUCCCGAACAUCGGAUUCCAAGUUCUUCAGCUUUUGGACUCAUGGACUUACACCAGUGGAUUGUCAGGGGCUCUCAGGCCUUUGGCCACAGACUGAAGGCUGCACUGCUGGCUUCCCUACUUUUGAGAUUUUGGGACUCGGACUGGUUUCCUUGCUCCUCAGCUUGCAGACGGCCUAUUGUGGGACUUCACCUUGUGAUCAUGCAAGUCAAUACACCUUAAUAAACUCCCUUUCAUAUAUCUAUCUGUCUUUAGCUCUGUCCCUCUAGAGAACCCUAAUACACAGCCAGAGUGGUGUUCUGUUGUUGCAGCUGAGAGCAC